rnacentral:tRNA from 1 species
GCUUCUUUAGUAUUAAUUAGUACAACUGACUUCCAAUCAGUUAGUUUCGGUAUUAAAUCCGAAAAGAAGUA